rnacentral:rRNA from 1 species
CAGUAGCCGCGGUAAUACGUAGGUCCCGAGCGUUGUCCGGAAUUACUGGGCGUAAAGCGUGCGCAGGCGGUUGUGUAAGACAGGUGUGAAAUCCCCGGGCUUAACCUGGGAACUGCGCUUGUGACUGCACAGCUAGAGUAUGGCAGGGGGGGGUGGAAUUCCACGUGUAGCAGUGAAAUGCGUAGAGAUGUGGAGGAACACCGAUGGCGAAGGCAGCCCCCUGGGCCAAUACUGACGCUCAUGCACGAAAGCGUGGGGAGCAAACAGGAUUAGAUACCCCAGUAGUCCCUGUCUCUUAUAC